rnacentral:RNase_P_RNA from 1 species
GCGGAUGGCUGGAUGGCCGCGUUUGCCGCUUUGGUGAACGAGGAAAGUCCGGACUCCACAAAACAACGGUGCCGGGUAACGCCCGGCUGGGGAAACCCAAGGGAAAGCGCCACAGAAAACAGACCGCCUGCCCCUGUGGCAGGUCAGGGUGAAACGGUGGGGUAAGAGCCCACCGCGGGGCUGGCAACAGCACCGGCACGGCAAGCCCCACCGGGAGCAAUGCCAAAUAGGAACCGCACGGGUGAAAAGGCCCAAAGCUGUUUUGGCUUGACGGUUCGGGUUGGCAGCUGGAUCUGUCCGGUAACGGGCAGGGUAGAUGAAUGGCCAUCGCGCAUCGGGGUUGCCUGAUGCGCACAGAAUCCGGCUUAUAGGCCAUCCGCGCAC